rnacentral:rRNA from 1 species
CGCGGGAUUGGGACGGGGUGCAGCAGGCGCGAAAACUUUACAAUGCUGGCAACAGCGAUAAGGGAACCUCGAGUGCCAGGUUACAAAUCUGGCUGUCGAGAUGCCUAAAAAGCAUUUCAUAGCAAGGGCCGGGCAAGACCGGUGCCAGCCGCCGCGGUAACACCGGCGGCUCGAGUGGUAACCGUUAUUAUUGGGUCUAAAGGGUCUGUAGCCGGCCGGAUAAGUCUCUUGAGAAAUCUGGCAGCUUAACUGUCAGGCUUUCAGGAGAUACUGUCUGGCUCGAGGCCGGGAGAGGUGAGAGGUACUUCAGGGGUAGGGGUGAAAUCUUGUAAUCCUUGAAGGACCACCAGUGGCGAAGGCGUCUCACCAGAACGGACCUGACGGCAAGGGACGAAAGCUAGGGGCACGAACCGGAUUAGAUACCCGGGUAGUCCUAGCCGUAAACGAUACUCGCUAGGUGUCGGCCACGGUGCGACCGUUGUCGGUGCCGUAGGGAAGCCGCGAAGCGAGCCACCUGGGAAGUACGGCCGCAAGGCUGAAACUUAAAGGAAUUGGCGGGGGAGCACCACAACGGGUGGAGCUUGCGGUUUAAUUGGAUUCAACGCCGGAAAUCUUACCGGGACCGACAGCAAUAUGAAGGCCAGGCUGAAGACUUUGCCGGAUUAGCUGAGAGGUGGUGCAUGGCCGUCGUCAGUUCGUACUGUGAAGCAUCCUGUUAAGUCAGGCAACGAGCGAGACCCACGCCCACAGUUGCCAGCGUACUCUCCGGAGUGACGGGUACACUGUGGGGACCGCCGCUGCUAAAGCGGAGGAAGGAAUGGGCAACGGUAGGUCAGUAUGCCCCGAAUAUCCCGGGCUACACGCGAGCUACAAUGGUUGGUACAAUGGGUAUCUACCCCGAAAGGGGACGGGAAUCUCCUAAAACCAAUCUUAGUUCGGAUUGAGGGCUGCAACUCGCCCUCAUGAAGCUGGAAUCCGUAGUAAUCGCGUUUCAACAGAACGCGGUGAAUACGUCCCUGCUCCUUGCACGAAUUCGCCGAAUCACUAGU